ACAUUGGUGGUUCAAUGGUAGAAUUCCUGCCUUCCAUGCGAGAGACCAGGGUUUGAUUCAUGGCCAGUGCA
rnacentral:tRNA from 1 species